rnacentral:lncRNA from 1 species
CAGUCAUUAAACUUUGAAAAGUUAUGCUAGUGAGAACAGACAAUCACCAGCCAGAGGGUAUUAAUUUGAAAGCAGACAAAAAUGGUUUUAUAUUUCUAUUUUGAAUGUUCCAUAUAAAACAAUUACAAAUAUCUGUUUUAGUGAUCUGUGUCAUAGUUAGCCUGCAGUUAGUACAAGUACAAAAUAACAGUGAUUAAAAUGAAAGCAUUAUACUUACUACUUUUUUUACCUUACACCAUUUUAAAUGAAAUAAUACAGCAAAAGAAUACUUAAAUGAAAACAACAUACAUACUAUUUUUAUGCAAUGUUCAGCCCCCUUAGUUCAAAGGAAGAUAGAAAAGAAUGUUUAUUAUUCCUGUGAGAAGGAGGGGCACAGUCAUUUCUAUGAGUGUUUGACUUCAGGUGUACAUACAUAACAUGUUCUUGGGUGUAUAAAUAAGAUGGAGUCUCGCUCUUUUGCCCAGGCUGGGGUACAACGGCACAAUCUCGGAUCACUGCAACCUUCGUCUUCUGGGUUCAAGAAAUUCUCCUGCCUCAGUCUCCCUAUUAGCUGGGAUUACAGUUCUGAAAAUCAGCUUUCCCAAAUGAGUUUUACUGGAACAAAAUCAAGAUUUCCGCAUGGUCAUGCUCUCUCUGGAGGUUCCAGGGGAGCUUGA